rnacentral:rRNA from 1 species
GACGAACGCUGGCGGCAUGCCUAAUACAUGCAAGCCGAGCGAACAGAUGAAGUGCUAGCACUUCUGACGUUAGCGGCGAACGGGUGAGUAACACGUACGGAUACUACCUAUAAGCGGGGGAUAACAUUCGGAAACGGGUGCUAAUACCGCAUAAUAUCUUCUUCCGCAUGGAAGAGGAUUGAAAGACGGCACUGAUGUCACUUAUAGAUGACCUUGCGGUGCAUUAGUUAGUUGGUGGGGUAAUGCCCUACCAAGACGAUGAUGCAUAGCCGACAUUAGCGGGUGAUCGGCCCCAUUGGGACUGGGACACGGCCCAAACUCCUACGGGAGGCAGCAGUAGGGAAUCUUCAGCAAUGGGCGAAAGCCUGACGGAGCAAUGCCGCGUGCGUGAAGAAGGCCUUCGGGUCGUAAAACUCUGUUAUAAGAGAAGAACAAAUUGUAGAGUAACUGCUACAGUCUGGACGGUAUCUUAUCAGAAAGCCACGGCUAACUACGUGCCAGCCGCCGCGGUAA